UGGAGAUAAGUUACUGCAUGUCUUUAUGUCCCUCAGCAAUAGGAUUUUGAGUGAUUCAUCUGGAAAGAAAGUCAAACCAAAUGGUACAAAUCAAUCUUUUUAGCCCUGUCAUUGAGAAGUGCUUCCAUCCUUUUCAUCGUGCAUUGGGCUUAUUUGUGGGAAAGAUCACCAGACAUGAAGCAAGGAGCUCUCCAACAGGUAUUUGCAGUAGAGGGACAGAGUGCAUAAAGC